UCCCUGCUAACACACGACGUAACAGUUACGUAACGUACUGGUAAUUUUUGGUAAUUCCAUGACUUACCAAUUGACAACGUAACUACGACGUCGCAUGCCCGUAAUUUUAUUACCAUCACAUUACCAACUCACAACGUCGUCAGUACGUCCUUCCAACGUGACCAGAUAACCAAGAACGUCCCAGAUAGGUCCUCUAUUGGUAAUAUAUUGGUAACUUCAUGACUUACUGGCAACGUAACUACAACGUCGUAUGCACGUAAUAUCAUUACCAUAUAUUUUUUUUACGUUCUUUAUAUGCUCUCUGAGUAUAGAGCCAUUUAAAAAGUGUAAUUAAACUUCAGACUCAAGAUUAAACGUUCCUUAAAGAUAAAAUAUGUUUCUUUUCACCAAGUCAGAAUAUGGACAUGCUUUUAAUAUAUAGUGACGUGACAUACAGGCGCGCGCUUCCGCAACUGACGCACCGCGCGCACAGUAUUGACAAGAAAAGAGUUGUGAAACUUUCUAUCUCGUAAGGAGUUAUGAACGUGAAAUAGUGACACAGACUGGCUACACCAUCUCAUCUGCAGCAGAGAUUGUUGUAUCAGAAGGACAGCGCGUUUGUUUGACGCACUUUUCACUUCAACUGUGUCUGACAGGAGAAUUAGCUUUCUGAGCCUUCUAGCCGUUGAGUUACCAUGGCAACCGCGUACACAUCAGCUGCUGGAGAGGAGAGGACUCGUCUGACAUUUUCUCUGUUUCUCGUCAGUUAUACCAAAGAAAAGGCCAACAACUGCGACAGAUUUGUUAAGUAACACGUUAAUAUCAUCCACAGUCUACUUUAAGUACUUUUUGUUAAUAUUUAUACCUCUGCGAUUAUGGUAUUUUUCCUGAAAUGUCUGCUAUCAAGUAUUACGCUAGCAUAGAAACAUAAUUAACGUUAUAGCAUAUUAGAUUUGAGCCCUUAUUAAUGAAAGUUUGGCCUUUUAAUUACAUCUUAUGCCUAAAGGAUCGGUUUUGGUCGUUUUGUAAAUGUUUUUGAUGGUAAUUUGUCAAUAGAUAAAUGAAAUAAAGUUAAGCUAAUUAAUUUAACCUAAAAAUCUGCAUUGUAGAGUCUAUCAGUGACGUCACUCGUGGUCUAAAAUGGGCUGAAACUAUUUCAAACCACUGUUUCAAGCUUGUUCUGAUUUAUCAUUGUAAACAAAUAUUGAUAAAAAAAAUUGUACAGUGAUUUCAGGAGUGUCUUAAAAACCCUCUAAAACAGAGGAGAAGUUCCAAGAAAAUGUCUAACGGGACCUGCUGACAGAGAUAGAAAACACAGGUGAUGCUACAAAGCUUAUUAAAUAACUUCAUAUUUAUUUUUUACAAUAUAUCAUCAUGCAUCUGUAAAAUCUAAACAUGUGAAUUCUGGUAUCUAAAGAUUUUUGUAUGUUUUCCAUAUUGCUAUUUUUCUUUUCUGCAUUUCCCCUAUUCUCUAGUUUGUUUAUUUCUAAUAAGGAGCUGGAGGCCGUGAAGAUACAGAUCCAUGAUAUUGUGGAGAAGCAGGCCCAGCUGAGCGAGUGGAGAGCUGUGCUGGAAAUAUUCAGGGGUUGAUGCUCAUAAGUCCAGGGUAAGUAUACAGCUAACCCUACUACCACCUCUACUCUGUGUGGUUCUCUGCAAAGGCCCGGUGUACCCAGGAUGCGAUCUUCCCAGAUGUCCUUCACCCUAUUUCAUAGUGUAAGACAUGAUCCAGGCCCUGGGCGACGACCUCUCUCCAUCCGCCGCCUCCGGUCUUCAGGAUCUCCACCAGAACCCGAUUCGCUCCACUUCGCGAGACAGAACAAAACGCUGUGAUCAUCAGAGACUCCAUCGUCCGGCACGUUUGCGCUAUGUUAGCUGAAGGUAAAGUCCACACUGACUACUUCCCUGGUGCUCAUGUUCUUGAUAUUUCUGCACAGAUUCCCGUGACCCUGAAGAGUGAGGUGGGCAUCAGAGCGGACGGAGACACUGAAGAGGGACUUCAGGAGCCUGAUCAAGACAGUGCGCAGCAUAUCGCCUGCAUGAUGAUCAUCGUGUCAGGACCACUUCCCACGUAUAGAUGAGGACAUGAAAGGUUCAGCAGACUUUUUGCUUUAAACGAAUGGUUAUAGUCAUGGUGUAAAGAACAGAAACUGCCUUUUGUUAAUAAUUGGAAUCUUUUCUGGGAGCUAGGCUUUUUAGAUCUCCUGUUGGACAACAUCUCCAGGACACUUCGCUCCAUAUGACUAUUUGUGAAAAGAGAUAAUCAAGAGAAGUCAGUUCCAGAUCCACCCUCCACACCAGACCUCUCUCUCACGAGGAUUGCUGUCUACUAGCAUAUUGUGUUCUUCAGCUCUUCAGACUUCGGUGGAUGCAGAUAUUACUCAGGGACAUGAACACUAGAAUAUUGCAAGAAUAGAGAAAAGGGACUUUGCGGGGGAUUCUUGAAAAUAGAUUAGCUUCACACAGACGUCUUCUAACUGUCACAGUACUUACAGGUAACUCCAGACUGUCUUUGAUCAUCCUGGAGGUGAUCAUUGGCUGAGCCUUUGCCAUUCUGGUUAUUCUUCUAUCCAUUUUGAUGGUUGUCUUCCGUUUUCUUCCACGUCUCUCUGGUUUUGCUCUCCAUUUUAAGGCAUUGGAGAUCAUUUUAGCUGAACAGCCUAUCAUUUUUUGCACCUCUUUAUAGGUUGUCCCCUCUCUAAUCAACUUUUUAAUCAAAGUACGCUGUUCUUCUGAACAAUGUCUUGAACGACCCAUUUUCCUCAGCUUUCAAAUGCAUGUUCAACAAGUGUUGGCUUCAUCCUUAAAUAGGGGCCACCUGAUUCACACCUGUUUCUUCACAAAAUUGAUGACCUCAGUGAUUGAAUGCCACACUGCUAUUUUUUUAAACACAUCCCUUUCAACUAAUUCAACUAAUUGCCCAAUUGCACAGCCUUAAGAGCGUGCAUAUCAUGAAUGCUGGGUCUCGUUUGUUUUCUGAGAAUCUACUGAACCUACUGGUAACUUGUUUGCCACGUAGCAAUAAAAAAAUAUACGAAAAACCUUGAUUAUUCUGGUUAAUCACAUUGUACUGCUAUUAUUUUGAACAAUACUGUAUAUAUUUAGAUAUAUUUUUGUGGCAGUGUGAACUGGCCAUAAUGCUGUAUGAUAGGUGUGAGAUUCAUUAAACUUGAUUUGCUAUAAUACAUCUGUUCAUAAGCUAUAGCAUAUUAUUUUCAAUGAAUUAUUUGUAGUGGUUUGGUUAAGGGUGUGAUUAGCUGAAGAUUAUUGUGGGAUCUUGUGAUUAGUUGAUGAAUGUGUGCAUUGUUAAUGAUAAUAUUUAAAUGCAAUGUACUGAGUGCCUACUAAGACUUGCAUGUUGUGCAUAAUGUUUUGACCCUGGAUGCUUACAGAAGGGUAUAGAUAUUUCAAUAUAUGGAAAUGUAUUUAUUAUUAAUAUAUCUCAAUCUAUGUGCUUCUGUAUGGGCUGAAUGCUUUCAUUCAUAUUUCGCUGUAUAUCCUGUUUUUAUUAAUAAUCUGGGUGUAUUACUGUUCAUAUUUGCUUGUUAAUAAAUUAACUGAAUUCA